rnacentral:tRNA from 1 species
GAGAGAUGGCUGAGUGGUUGAAAGCUCCGGUCUUGAAAACCGGCAUAUUAUUUAUCGAGGGUUCGAAUCCCUCUCUCUCCU